rnacentral:rRNA from 1 species
UACGUAGGUGGCAAGCGUUGUUCGGAAUUACUGGGCGUAAAGCGCGCGUAGGCGGCUCUUCAGGUCAGGCGUGAAAGCCCCGGGCUUAACUCGGGAACUGCGCUUGAUACUGUCGAGCUAGAGUGUGGAAGGGGCGAUUGGAAUUCCGUGUGUAGCGGUGAAAUGCGCAGAUAUCAGGAGGAACACCAAUGGCGAAGGCAGCUCGCUGGGACGGUACUGACGCUGAGGCGCGAAAGCGUGGGGAGCAAACAGG